rnacentral:rRNA from 1 species
AUGAACGCUGGCGGCGUGCUUAACACAUGCAAGUCGAACGAUGAAGCCCAGCUUGCUGGGUGGAUUAGUGGCGAACGGGUGAGUAACACGUGAGUAACCUGCCCUUAACUCUGGGAUAAGCCUGGGAAACUGGGUCUAAUACCGGAUAGGAGCGUCCACCGCAUGGUGGGUGUUGGAAAGAUUUAUCGGUUUUGGAUGGACUCGCGGCCUAUCAGCUUGUUGGUGAGGUAAUGGCUCACCAAGGCGACGACGGGUAGCCGGCCUGAGAGGGUGGCCGGCCACACUGGGACUGAGACACGGCCCAGACUCCUACGGGAGGCAGCAGUGGGGAAUAUUGCACAAUGGGCGCAAGCCUGAUGCAGCGACGCCGCGUGAGGGAUGACGGCCUUCGGGUUGUAAACCUCUUUCAGUAGGGAAGAAGCGAAAGUGACGGUACCUGCAGAAGAAGCACCGGCUAACUACGUG